rnacentral:lncRNA from 1 species
AUUAAUCGUCCUUAUAUGUACUCGGGAACGUUCGUCCUUUAGGUUUUCUCCUGGCGCAUGGGCGCCGCCAAUCAUUUCGGGGCUUAUUUUGGUUCUAAAGCCCGGGGCAGCCAGGCCUCCCUGCCUGGCCUCGGCGGGGACGCGGGACCUGGGGCCCCGGACCGGGCCUAACCGCCCUGGCCGGUCCCCACUGAUGGUGGCGGUCGGUCCUGAUCGUCCUGAUGGCAGCGACCAGGCUGGACUCGGGCUGUGCAGGGGCGAGGGGAGCAGGGCGGGGUGACGCCCGGAGAGCGGCCUGGAGAGCGCGUGCUUCAGAAGGCGUGGGCACCCUGUCCCCUUUGCAGAUGGGGAUGCAGGCCCUGGUGGCGGUGGAGGGGAGAUGGGGGCAGGGACGUUGCCGGGCAGAGGAAGCUGGCCAUUCCUGGGGGAUUCCUGGGAGCCAUGUGGGAGAGGCGUGAGGAAGUGAGACCUUCACCCCGAGACAGGUCCUGACACACCCUCUGGUGCCUCUACUCAAGUGAGAAGUUUGGCUGCUGUAACUGACUGGGAAGCUUAAAAUAACAGACAAUCAUCUCUCACAUUUAUGGGGACUGGGAAGUCCAAGACCAAGUUGCCAUCUGGGGAGGGCCUGUUCCUCACAGCGCCUUCCAGCUCAGGCCUCGUUUAUAAGGGCACUCAAGCCUUCCACGACAACGGGUCCUCAUGACUUACUCACCUCGGAAAGCCCCACCCCCAAGACCAUCACAUUGUGGGUGAUGGCAGAGCAUAAGGUGCCUUCCCCACAUGCUCGGGUUGGCCCAGCGUCUCACGCUAGCAGCUACGUGGAAUAGUUAUUUUUUCUGGAGAACUCUGGGACCCCUCUGAUGUCUUGGAGCACCCACACAGGCCGUUCACUGUGCACGCUGUGAGGCUGUCGUCUUGGAGCACCCACACAGGCCGUUCACUGUGCACGUGGUGAGGCUGUCCUCUGGGGAGUUCUGCUGUUGUAUGGGUUCUGUCUGUGUCAAUGUCCCAGCGGGAACGCAGGGCACACUAGCGUCAUCCCCAGAGGGCUUGGUAAGGGGACUGUUUGCAGAGACAUAGGCAGAGGGCUGGAAAACUACCAAAAAAGUGCAGUGUUCUGGACCUAAUAAUAGCAGAGCUAUUCUCACCCUGGUCUGAAGGCAGGAGGGGAGGAGCAGUUAAUGGAUUCUGGAAGUCAGGUUGCACAGAGUCACCUUGAAAGAUGCCAUGACCUUCACCGAGGGCCAGACAGAGACUAAGAUGACCCCAUAGGAGAAUAAGACCUAGACCUCAUCCUCCUGCCUCCUGCCAGUCCCUGCCAGGGGUCGCCAAUGGCAAAACAGGACUGGAAGCCAGAGGCCAUGGAAGCCCAUGGAUGAAGUCCACAGGCCAGCCUCCCCGAGAGCAGCCUGGACGGUCCGCAGGAGACGUCUCCUGUCUUAGGCGUCCCACGCCGCGUGCUCCUGUUCAGCCCUGCCGAGGUGGAAGCUUGGAGUGGCUCACGGUGGAUGCAUUGACGCUGCAGACGCCAGCAAGUGCUACAAACCAGAGCUGGCCUUUAACUCAGACUGAUGGAGAAGGUGUUAAUAAUGCAGAUUAGACUUAAAAGUGUUGAAGCCAUUGCACUGUGAACAGCAAAAAAAUUGAAGAACUCUUCUGGCAUUUAAAAACAAUUACUCAGUUCAGCAGAGAAGUCACUGACAAACGAGAUCACACUGACUGCUUUGUCGUUUUGGUUUUGUCUUACUCAUUAAUGCAAAUAAGAACAUUCACUAGCAUCUGUGUCGGGCCUACCCUCCCUGGUCAAAUACAGCUACAGUCUCCCUGCAGAAACGAGUUUUCCAGAAAUGAGCCGAUGUUUUCUGCGAGAAUCAAUUGGUCAUAUACAAUUUACAAAAAUGAGUACUGUAUACUAUAUUUGUAAACUGUACACUGCAGAUGCUUUAUUUCACUGAAAUUUAUAAUACACUUAUCCAUGUAUAUGCAUGCAUGCAUUUUUGUUCCUGAGAUCCAGCUGUGAAAUGUUUACCAGCACAUAAAUUACCAGCACAUGCUCUUUUUUGUUAACCUACUAGGUAAAAUCUUCAUUUAUUACAUCAAAUUCUUGUAGUUUUUGUAUUGCAAUUAUGCAGAUAUUGAUUAUCGCAGUAUUACUGCAAUUAUACAGAUACCACAAUUUCAGAUAUUGAUCAGCGUGUUCAGUUGGUUUCUAAGGAGGUUUACUUACCUCAUGGUACACCUAGUUUGCAUAGUUUGAUUAUAUUUAACUCUUAUGCUAAUUGGGGGAAGUCAUUGAUUUAUUGGACAGAUGCACCUGUGGUCUUCCCUGAGCACAUCCUGGCCAAGGAUGCUGCCCCCAGGAGAUUUGAGAAGUCCUGUAAGGAUCAUAUCAGUAUUUUCAAAUACUUAUAGAAAAGCCAGAGGGAUUGACCCAGAAUUACCAAUAUAAGCUUGACCCUGAGAUAACAAUGCCAUUUUAUGUUUGCAUGCAUAAAACCAAUGCAAGAGGCUGAUGACUCCAGAUCCCUUAUAUAAGCCAAUAAAAAGUAGUUUCAUUUUUUAUUUCAUUUAAAAAA